CCUACGGGAGGCAGCAGUGAGGAAUAUUGGUCAAUGGACGAGAGUCUGAACCAGCCAAGUAGCGUGAAGGAUGACUGCCCUAUGGGUUGUAAACUUCUUUUAUAUGGGAAUAAAAUGUUCCACGUGUGGGAUUUUGUAUGUACCAUAUGAAUAAGGAUCGGCUAACUCCGUGCCAGCAGCCGCGGUAAUACGGAGGAUCCGAGCGUUAUCCGGAUUUAUUGGGCUUAAAGGGAGCGUAGGUGGAUUGUUAAGUCAGUUGUGAAAGUUUGGGGCUCAACCGUAAAAUUGCAGUUGAAACUGGCAGUCUGGAGUACAGUAGAGGUGAGCGGAAUUCGUGGUGUAGGGGUGAAAUGCUUAGAUAUCACGAAGAACUCCAGUUGCGAAGGCAGUUAACUGGAAUACAACUGACACUGAGGAGCGAAAGUGUGGGUAUCAAACAGGAUUAGAUACCCGAGUAGUC
rnacentral:rRNA from 1 species